GAUGAAGAACGUAGCGAAAUGCGAAAAGUAAUGUGAAUUGCAGAAUUCAGUGAACCAUCGAAUCUUUGAACGCACAUUGCGCCCGCUGGAACUCCGGCGGGCACGCCUGUCCGAGCGUCAUUUCAACCCUCAGGCCCCCCUUCGCGGGCGGGCCUGGUGUUGGGGCCCGGCCGCUACCCUGCGGCCGUCCCCUAAAUUCAGUGGCGGCCUCGCCGUGAUCCCUUGCGUAGUAAUGCACCUCGCACCGGAGAGCGCCGUGGCCACGCCGUAAAACCCCCAAUUUUCAAUGGUUGACCUCGGAUCAGGUGGGAAUACCCGCUAAACUUAAGCAUAUCACUAAGCGGAGGA
rnacentral:misc_RNA from 1 species